rnacentral:rRNA from 1 species
GAGCGCAACCCCUACUACCUCAGUUGCCAUCAUUAAGUUGGGCGACUCUGUGGAGGACUGCCGGUGUCAAACCGGAGGAAGGUGGGGAGUGACGUCAAGUCCUCAUGGCCCUUAUGACCAGGGCUACACACGUGCUACAAUGGCCGGUACAAAGAGUUGCGAUGCCGCGAGGUGGAGCUAAUCUCAUAAAGCCGGUCUCAGUUCGGAUUGGAGUCUGCAACUCGACUCCAUGAAGUUGGAAUCGCUAGUAAUCGCGGAUCAGCAUGCCGCGGUGAAUACGUUCCCGGGCCUU